AAAGAGUGUGCAGUUGCUCUUUGCAAAAGCGGGUGAGCCCCUGCUCAGCUCUCAGGGCGGGCAGAUUAGCUCCAGUGCUUUGCCUGAGGAUGUGCAGGCAUUGCUAACCUUGGCCGUCCGCAUGCAUGGGUCUGUUUGCUCGUGGGCAUCAGUCCCAGACACUGCCUUGUGCACUUGUCCUGAUGAUCACUUUAGAAAGCCCAGUAGGAGUGGCCCAGUGCAGAAUGCCACAGUUAUAACAGAGGUCAACAGUGGACUAUUGAUCCUAGGGUACGCAGCCCGGUUUGAACCUGAGCUCGUGUGGCCGCUGUGUAUAGCAUGACUGUGAACUGUCAGAACCCAGUAGAAGUUGCAGUUGGUUCUGACCCUUCAGUCCUAAUGCUUCGGGAUGUUUGCAGGUUUUCUGUGCUAUCUUUAUUUGAAAAUAUUUAGUUUUAGUCCAGUCUUUAUAUUUGUUUUAUUAUAUCUACUUUUAUAGAUGUCUGAGAAACUUAUAUUUAAAGAAUACUCCAUCUAAAAUCACUACAAUAAACUUCUUUGAUUCAAAAAUUCUAAA
rnacentral:lncRNA from 1 species